CGAGCGCAACCCUUGUCAUUAGUUGCUACAUUCAGUUGGGCACUCUAAUGAGACUGCCGGUGGACAAACCGGAGGAAGGUGGGGAUGACGUCAAGUCCUCAUGGCCCUUAUAGGUGGGGCUACACACGUCAUACAAUGGAUGGUACAAAGGGUCGCCAACCCGCAGGGGGAGCCAAUCCCAUAAAGCCAUUCGUAGUCCGGAUCGCAGUCUGCAACUCGACUGCGUGAAGUCGGAAUCGCUAGUAAUCGUGGAUCAGAAUGUCACGGUGAAUACGUUCCCGGGUCUU
rnacentral:rRNA from 1 species